rnacentral:rRNA from 1 species
UACGGGGGGAGCAAGCGUUGUUCGGAUUUACUGGGCGUAAAGGGCGCGUAGGCGGUAGCACAAGUCAGUUGUGAAAUCUCCGGGCUUAACUCGGAAAGGUCAACUGAUACUGUGCGACUAGAGUGCAGAAGGGGCAACUGGAAUUCUCGGUGUAGCGGUGAAAUGCGUAGAUAUCGAGAGGAACACCUGCGGCGAAGGCGGGUUGCUGGGCUGACAUUGACGCUGAGGCGCGAAAGCCAGGGGAGCGAACGGG